CAAGAAGUGCUGCGCCUAACUGAGCCAUCAGCAAUGUAUUUAGUGUUACUGCUUAUUCUGCUACCAGAUUUAUUUCUGUGUGACUCAAUUCAACAAAGCGAAACACAAGUGUUACGUAAAGAAGGAGAGAGUGUAACACUGAGCUGUACCUAUGAGACCAGCAGUAACUACAUAUACCUUUACUGGUACCGUGUGUAUCAGAACCGAGCACCUCAGUACAUUCUGCUUCGAGGAGCCAAGUCCAGGAAGGGGGAGAGUAACACCGCAGAGUUUGCUCAGCAGAGGUUUUCUUCAACCACAGACAGAACCAGCACAACCCUGACCAUCACACAGACCUCCCUGUCUGACUCUGCCAUCUAUUACUGCGCCCUUGAUACCCACAGUGUGGGAAUGUAAUGAGAGACCCGUACAAAAACUAGCGACACCCCUGUAUGUAUCUGGCAUUCAUUAGCAGACGUUUUUUUACUGAACUCUCAAGACGUUGCUGGAAUUUGUGAGGACAAGGAAGAUGUCUGGUAGCACAUUAAGAAACAGUAACAUUUUAUUGCAUUAUCGGCAACAUUACAUUGUCAGUGAAAUAACGUGCGGCCGAGAAUGCUGACAGUGUGUGGUUGUGAAAAUACGUUAAGUACCAAUAAAAUGUUACUGCUUCUCGGGAGCUGUAUGUUACUCAGGGCGUAUUCAAGCAGUCUCAGCCUUAAACGUGCAUCUAAUUUUAAUAAAUUGAGGUAGUUUUAUUAUAGUACUGAACAUAUGAGAUACAGGAGGUCGA